GAAGCGGAGGGGAGAGGGAAGCGGAGCGGGGGGUGACGGGACAAGGGGAAUAGAUUCCAGGAGAGAACAGGUUCAGAGUAGCUAUAGAGGAGGAAGUUCUCUGCUGUGAGGGUGGUGAGGCACAGGCUGCCCAGAGAAGUUGUGGAUCUGCAUCCCUGGAAGUGUUCAAGACCAGGCUGGGUGGGGCUCUGACCAGCCUAGCCUAGUGGAAGGUGUCUCUGCUCAUGGCAGGGGGGUUGAAACGAGAUGAUCUGUAAGGUCCUUUCCAACCCAUGCCAUUCCGUGACUCUGCGAUGAAUUCUGUGUGGGGUGAGCUGUGUCGGGGGCAGGCUGAGCACGGGUUGCUCAUGCAGUGUGUGUACCUGCCGUUAGGCGUCUGCCAGGGGCAGGCACAGACGUUUCUCCCAAGUGAUGACUUGGAUCAGUGUUCCACACUGGGUUAUUUUUAUCCAAGGCCUGUUACUUAAUCUUGUUUCCAUGAUUGCCCACAUGCUUUUAUUUGCACGUUACGGAGAGAGUAGGAGCAUGUGGUGUGAAGGAUGACAAGUAGAAAUAGAAACUAAAGCUACAGCUUUAGAGGUAGUGAAUGAAGCUAGUUGGUAUCUCUCUUGGCAAAUAAAAAGAAAUGGAAGAGAACUAAAGAUUUUUGCUGAUGAAGUGUAAAGAUUGCAUUAGUCUGUUAUUUAAACUGCACAUUUUAUCAUUUUAGUCAUCCUUUGACCCACCAAAAUGGACUUUUACACUGAGAACAGUUCCAUAUAAACAGGACAAGUGAACAAACUGACCAAACAACCGUGUGAGCUGCCUUAUGUGGAAGAAAAUUAAUGAAACGUUUUUGGGGUGAUGACUGCACAUUUUUACCAGUGUCAACUCCUCCGUUGAAUUUGAAUGUUUUCAGUCUGAAGAUGAACAGUAAAGGACAACAUAGAUGUCGGAGACAGGAGUCUGGUCUAGUAGGCUGUUGAACAUCAUCUGCAGCAUGGGACUACAGUCUAUAUCCAAGAAGCAGGGUCCUUUCUUACAGGUGGCAAGAUGCAAAACACAUUUUCAAGUAUCUUGAUAUAGGGAUAUCAGAUAUAGGGAACAAAGUAAAAUCAAAGAAGAAAACACUGGAAUUUUCUUAUAUAAUAUUAGUGGAUAUUAACCUUAUGUUGUCUUCUGUGUCUCUUCAUUGUAGGCACUUGUUUGGACUGAGAUGCAUAUUAAAUAACCUCUGACAAUGUGUUAAGAUAGUGAUAGUGUUUAGCAGUGCCCUCUGCAGGCUUUUAUUUGGUAAGCAGAGAAAGCUGUAGCAACUUUGCUCUGUUUUGAUUAUGUGUUUAUACUGGUUGACCUGGUUCUUUUUAUGUAUUUUGCUAGCAGAGUACCAUCUGAACUUUGGAAUUUUGUUCCCAAGCUGCUUGGAAAAAAACACAGAGUGCUGACACUAUUGCUUAUGACAUUUGCCCAGUUGAGACAAAUGUAUGGAGAUCAAUAGAGAAGGUACAUAUCAGAAAAGAUAACAGAAGCUUCCUAUGCAAUGUAUCCGCUAUGCCACUCUAAAAUGCCAGACUCACAGAAUCACAAACUAGGACGGGAAGGGACCUCUGGAGAUCAUCCAGUCCAACCCCCCUUGCCAAAGCAGGGUCACCUAGAGGAAGUGACACAGGAACACAUCCAGGUGAGCUUGGAUGUCUCCAGAGAGGGAGAGUCUACAACCUCCCUGGGCAGCCAGUUCCAGUGCUCUGCCACCCUAAAGACUAAACAGGCCCAGCUCCCUCAGUCUCUCCUCCUAAAAGAAGUGCUCCAAACUCCAACUCAACUUUUGCAGCCCUCCUUGUCUCUCUUGUCCUGAGGAGCCCCAGAACUGAACACACUCCAGAUGUGGCCUCCCUAGGGCUGACUAGAGGGGGAGGAUCACCUCCCUUGACCUGCUGGCCACACUCUUCCCGAUGCACCUCAGGAUACCAUUGGCCCUCCUGGCUGCAGGAGCACACUGCUGGCUCAUGGACAAGCACACUGCUGGCUCUUGUCACCUACCAAGACUCCCAGGUCCUUCUCAGCAGAGCUGCUCUCUUUGGGCAGCCAAAGUACCAACUGUGCUGGUACUUAGGAUUAUUCCUCCCCAGGUGCACUUGCCUCUGUUGAACCUCAUUAGGUUUCUCUCCGCCCAACUCUUCAGCCUACCAAGGUUCCACUGAAUGGCAGUACAGCCUUCAGGUGUAUCAGCCACUCCUCCCCCUGGUUUAGUGUCAUCAGUAAACUUGCCGAGGGUAUAUUCUAUCCCUUCAUCCAGGUCAUUGAUAAACUAGCUGAAUAAGACUGGAUCCAGUACUGAUCCCUGGAGAAUGCCACUAACUCCAGGCUUUCAAUUGGACUCCACUGAUGACAACCCUCUGACCUCUGCCAUUCAGCCCGUUCUUAAUCCACCUCACUGUCCAUUCACUUAAUUUACAUUUCCUGACCUACGAGGAUGUUAUGGGAGACAUGUCAAGGUAGACAACAAGGUAAACCAAUUAAUUAGGAGUCUAUCAAGGAAGACACCCAUGCAGCUGAAAAAAUUCCCUCUGUACUGGCAGACAAAUAAGGGGAGCUACCCUAAAAUUAAAAUUAGAAUAUAUAGAAUACAGACUGUCUUGUUGAACUGUAAACUAGCUGAGACUUCACAGAUAUCAAUAAUAUUGACUUGUUUAGUUUCCCGAGCAUCAAUAUUACACUGUUUUCUAGAACUGAAUUCCAGUGAUGAAUUAUAGAACAUGAUGUAUGUAUGAAUACUCUCUGACCUAUACAGGUUAAAGGUGAUACAAACCUGAAGUGGAAAUAUGAGCUGAAGUUUCUCCAUUCAGUUCUUUAUUCCAGAACACACAGCUGUAGUUCUCACUCAUAUUUGGUUUGAAUGUCAGGAUGCUGGUGACAUUGUAGAGGCCAUCUGCAGUCAGUGUAUAGGUGGUAUUUGCAGGUCCACUGAGAUUGAAGUUCUUCUCAUUUUGCCAGAAAACCUCCGCCAGAGGAAAGCCUUCUGACUGGCACAUAAAAACAAACAUGUCUUCACCUGGUUUUCUCAUUACUUGAGUGUUUAUUCUCUUGUAGGAUGCUGCAUAAGAAGUUGUUGAGUGAAAUUGUUGUAUGCAACAAUAGUCAUUUUCUCACUUCACUUUUCUUCCUUCCCUUUAAUGCCACAUAUUGUCUACGGUUUCUGAGGGAAACUUAUUUAAAAUGAUGAAGGAUGUUUUGUAUAGCAAUGCAGUAAUCAUUAUUCAAUCCUUACCACGCCUACAGCAACAGAAUGUACUCCACUACUUUAUACAAGGCAGCUGUUGACACUAAAUUUAUGAUUUAUCAAUAUGGAGGACACAAGUGAAGACUCAUAGGACUCUAUUUUCACUUUUUGAAUAUGCCACUUCAAGAAAAAGGCUGAUUUUAAUGUUUGUUUUACCACAGCUUAUAAAUAGUGUGAUAUUCUCAUUAUAUUAGAACAAAAUUGACUUUUCAGGGAAACCAAUGGGGGUUUUAAGAAAGACUGUGUCCAUUUUUGCAUUUGACAAAGGUUGUUAUUUAGAUGUCUGGGUAGGAAAUUAAUGCUGCCUUGUGUCACAUGGAUAUGCAUGGGAAACACCAGAGGUCUUUCAAAGGACUGGUCUCUCAUGCUGUCCAGUAACAUCUGCCUUUAUUACUAAUGUCCAUUUGGCUUUGAUUUUCUGAACACAGAAAAUCACGUGUCCUUGCUCUGGGAGCUGCAGUCACUUAGGGAAUUCCCAAGCACUUGGGUAGUUGCAGCAGUGCUCAUAAGUGUAUUAGAGCACCUCUGAGAAACUUUUGGGAAUGGCCCAAGGUAGCCCAACAAGGCAGGAGAUCAAAUGGGAGGUGGUGACACUGGAGAAGAGGGUGUGGAAAGAAGGAGGAAGGAUGAAGGAUAGAUGGAGAACAAAUGCUGUCCCUCUCUGGCACAGACUGCUCCUGGAGAAGCUCAGCUAGCCAUUGAACCAAAGACUAGUCAGCAACAACACAACUGCUUUGGUUCAGCUGAGGGCUGAGCACAGGGUCUUUGUGAGAGAAUUAGCAAAUAAUUCCUUCAAAGUAAUCAAUUUCUACAAGCUUGUAGGAAUUUAGUAGACACAUCUCAAUGAAUAUAUACUUACAUUCAAUUCAACCACUAACCUUUUACUUCCAAAGUAAUAUACUUGUAGUCCACACCCCGGUAGUUAAUGAGACAAAGAUAUGAUCCCGCAUCUGUGAUCUUCACACUGAUGAUCUGAAGGAUAGCUCGUCCCAGCUUCAAUUCACUGUGCAGAAGUGAUGCUCUUCCUAUGUAAUCAGGAUGUUGGGAUGGAGGGACUGCCUUCCCAUUGCGGAGUGUGUACACCUCUUUUGAUUUCAACGAGCCUGGCCUUUUCUGCUCCCAAACAACAGUUAGGAGUUCUAGAUUUACUGAGCCAUUCACAGGGAAUCUGCAUUCCAUAGUCACAUUGUUCCCAUACUCUGCAAUGUAGAGCUGUUGAGGAACUUCAACUGUAAAUAAAGCUACAUGAAAAAAAGAAGACUGUUUCAUUUGUUGUAUUAAAAUGUGUUCUGAUUUUCCUUAAAUUUGGGCAAUACUGUAUCAGGUAGUCAGGCAUAUGGUUAUUGGUUUGACUGAACACUUUAAGCAUUUUUUGUUCAUACUCACAUUAACAUUUUUAGUUAAUAUAAUUGUCAUAUAGUAAUUAUAGCAAAUUAUUUAUAUUGGUUACAGAAUCUGAAAGAUAAGGAGAAAAUGAGCAAGUUUUUUUUUCACAUUUUAUAACUAACUUCAAGCUCAGCCAGUGAUUACACAGGAAGCACUUUUAUGAUACUAUGAUGGUCUCUUAUAUGUCCUAAGAUUCUAGUAAAAACAACAGUUAAUUGUGGAAACAGUAAAUUUAAUUUCAUUAUCCUUUACAAAAAGAAAUACCAAUGUAGUUCCUGUGAAAGAGAGUUGCACUGGAUAAGCAUGUGCUUAGAAGAUCUGCUGUGUAGCAAUUACAGUCUCCUACAACCCUGAAACCAUGUGAAUAUCAUUCAGUCCCAUGCAAUUUCUCAGAUACAUGCAACAGUAUUACAGAAAAUAUAUAAAAAUAAUCUUUGCCAUUCACCCAAUAUGAAAUACAUAUUUUUAUGAACAGUUUACCAUUUUAAGGUGUACUUGAUAAAGCAGAGUUAUUUACAAUACAUCAUUCAAAAUACGUUGUUACUACUUUCUGUAUUGGAUGUACUAUAUAUUGGUAGAUUUAAUUCAGAAGCACUUGGAAGUAUUGAUAACAACAUUCCAAAGAGAAGACCAUGCAACUGUUUAUGCAUUCCUUUUAUUGUAUGUGUUUGUGAAAUAGUUGCAGGGAAAACUUCAAUUCCUCUUAUAAGUGUUUGUUUAUUCACUCUAAUACAACUGUAAUGAGGGAAAAAAUUAUAUGAAAAAUCUGAAAAAAUGCCAAGACCCUUCUGAGUUUUAGCCAAGCUGCUCCUCCUACAGGCAUGCACAGGGGAACAUAGGUGGUUUGACUUCACUUUGCCUCACACUGAGGUUGUUCUAUUUCCCAGUGGGUGUGGGUUGCUUUGGUCAUCCUCCCUCUCACAGCCAUGGCUGCUGAUGCUGGACACCUCAGCUGUCAAUAUGCAAUACGUUAAAGAAGCUUGAUUGUGGAAAGUGAUGGACGUCUGUCCUGUGCUCAGUUAGUGCCAGUGCCUUCUGUAAGACAUUGGAAAGCAAAGGCUCCAGACAUUACUGGCCAUUCACGCAAGUAUUGUUGGAGAUGCGGAAGCCCACAUACCAAGGGCUGCAUUGAUUCUGCUGAUGGAAUUGAAAGACAGUUUCUCUCUCACCUGAAACCAUGGAGAGCUGUGUAUCCAGCAACAGAAUUGUGAGGAUCUGAAACAUUUUCUCAGGUGGAUCUGAAACAAAAGUAGGAUGGCAUCAGAACUUGCAACAACUACCUUUUCCUGCUGAAGCAGAUCAGAGCCAUGCUAACCUUCAAAACCCAUCACAUUGGUCAUAAACAGCAAAAAUAGAACCAAACCUUAGGCUACCAGUAGAAACAAGGAAAAUCCUGACUAAAGCAAUCCAUGCACACAUGCAGAGUAUGAACCAAUGGCAAUGAAUGAGUAGCAACAAGGGGAAAUAAAACAUUUCCACAACUUCA